rnacentral:rRNA from 1 species
UAAACUCCUGUCAUUCGAGAACAAGGUCUGUGGAGUAACUACCGGCAGACUCGAUAGUAUCGAAAGAGGAAGGGACGGCUAACUCUGUGC